GUUCCUCUGUCCUCUAGUUUGAUGCUUUAGUGUCACAGGACACUUUGUACAUAGUACCCCAUCCAUGAGAACACAGUCUUUCGCAGUAAAGACAGAUUCUCUCGGGAAUGUUUCCCUCCGUCCCUCCUUCCGUCUGCUUUUAAACAAAGCAGCUGAAAGCGGAGCGGAGGCUUUCCACUGACGACUAUCAUGGAGGGGUAGAUCAAGCAGAUGGCAAGUGGUGCGCAUUAAAAAAAAAAGAAAGAAAGAAAAAAAGCUUGAAACCAAACCCGGGGGGCACCUGCGCCUCGGCCACUGAAAGCCAAUACACGGACCUCAAAUGGAAGCAGGAAACCGGAGCGCCGAGAAAGAGAUGACUGACAGAAGUGUUCUGUGAUUGCUGUGUCUGCACCACGGAGGGCUGAGGACCAAAUCCAAUCAAUCAAGAGGCGGGACUGGGCCUAGAAGAGGAGCCUGGCCAAUGGGACACGUCCCUAACCGAGGGACCCAUGGCAGUCCACCAGCCCCACUUCGGUGCCAAGACAACCAGCCACUGGGAGUAGGUCGCAGGAAUCCAAUGCCCCCCCAUUACCAGCAGCAAGGCAUGAGAGGGGAGCCCCUAUGCCAAGCAGCCCUCAGGCCAGGGGGGCCUGGCUUCAUGGGCACCGCCAUAAAGUUAGUGAAAACCCAUCUCCCCACUACACCCUCUUACUAUUACUGACAAGUCCCCGACUGGCAGUCAUUGGCGCUAUCCCAUGUAUCAAUGCCCCUAAGUUGUGUGGUGGAUUAAAAUCUGGAGAGGCCAGGUAGGGAGAGGCAGCGGUUACAGGUACUACUGCCAAACAGACAAGUCUCCUCCACCCAAGAUCCAUCGUCCCUCAGAGAUGAUUGUAUGUGAUGCAUUAAAAGAAAGGGGAGUGACAGUGUGUAAUGCAUUCAAAUCCUGGGGGGCAGGCAGAUAAGAGGGACAGGGCACUUGGACCGGGAAACAGCCCUGACGUACUGAAACCCAGUUCGGCACCCACACUCUCUAGGCACCACCCCAGCCCCCAGGUAUCCCUGAAUAUGUGUGUGCUCAGAUGUGACUAGAGAAAAAAACAUUAGGUGAGAAAUUAAGAGGUAUGACUCCUGCAGGUCAGGUCCGUCAAGGCAGGCCCAUCAGGCAGGACAACCAAGAGAGUGCUGCCCUACCCGGCCGAACAGCACCACAGAACAUUAAGAAAAUGUGAUUUCUAUAGCAGCCUGUUUAGGCAGGCUCAACGAUAAUUACCUCUGUCGCGUUAUUGUGUCGAUUUACAGGUCAAAUGCUAGGUUAGCAAAACCUAACAGAGGAGCAGCUGCUCAUAGAAAAAAAAAAAAAGAGUUAAUGGCUUUGUCCUUCGACACUGAAACUCUUCUAGCUUUGUGUCAUAAAAUCAUUCAUGAGUCACACAAGAGCAGGAGUGUGGCACGUGACGCACGGCCAUUAUGCAAACCCCUCUAGUACCCUCCCCCUGCACCCACUCCCCAGUUAUUCAUUCCUAGGCCCUCCAGUUAAGAGAAGCUUUUUCCUCCCACAUGCAUCAUUGUAUGUCGGAUUAGCCGCCGACUCUCACAGUCCCCCACCCGUCCAGUCCACCGUUGGAAGCUAACCAAUUAGCAUCAAUUGGCCUUAUUCUCUGGGGUGAUUAGCAUACACGCAGCACUCUCAGGGGGCUUUGACACUUAUUGAAGCUGUCCGGAGUGCGAGAAGGGCGAGCGUUGCUUUUGUGGCCUGGCUGAGACCGAGCGAUAACAAGUGGCGCUAAUGAGCUUGCUAAAGAAGAGGGGCUGCAUGACACCGACCUACAUUGAGAAAGCUGAUUUGCAACGGGAAAAAAACACCAUAAAAUAUCCGAACAAAAUACGGCCCAGAAAAUCACAAGUGUACCUUGUGAUUGUGAAAUCUUGAAGGCGGAUGGCACCUUCACAGACAUUUUUGACAAAAGACCACCAAAAUUAAUGAUCACUCAGGAGCCACUUGCUCCAUCCACUUUAUAUCAUCGUAGUGUCUCCAUAAUUUUUCAUUUUUUUUUAUUGACCAAACUUCUCUCUUCCUCUCUUACUUGGACUUCAGCCCAUUUAGGCAGAAGACAGACUGGGCAUAAAUUGUAUGAAUAAUUCAAUACAAUCAUUCUGGCUCAUUUGCUGAUAACCUUUGUGAUCCAAAGAGUGGUAAAAUUCCCAGAAAUUCAAAACCUGUUUAGCCAACUGUUAAUCAAGUCUGACAAAUUCAGAAAUUUACACGUAAUUUAGUUGAUAAAUUCCCAGACUCACAAGUUUCAAUGUAAAUAGAUUUAUACAGUUGCCUGUUAGACAGGCAAUUAACCAAUCUUGAAUUCAAUCACUGAUUAAAAAAAUUAUUCAGACACAGUUGCCCAUAAUCUUCUUGAUAGGAAUGUUAGAGUUGAGUGGUUUAACUCCCAGAUGCAAAAUAUGUAAAAUGACAAAAUGCACUAGUCAGGCAUGAAUUAAUUAUUAAACUGAGAUACGUUAUUGCCACUCCUUUGGUUCCAAAACAAAAACGCCACCUUGGUGGUACUUUAAAUCAAUGAUACACAACUAAAAUUUGGAUUUCAACAGUAGACCAGUAAAGUGUUUGGGCUGGAUUAAUUUAUUUUACAUAAUUAUGCCUCCCUGGAUUCAAGACAAAAUAAAAACACAAUGAAACCUUAUUGACACGAUUGUGAGAGGAGUUGAACUCCCCAACUGGCAUCAUUUUUAAUGAGGAAAAACCUUUUAUCUAGUCUGUUCUCAAUUUCGUGGACCCUUUGCCAGUUGCUGCCAGAAUGAAAUCCAUUAUCUCCUUUUACUUCAAGACACGGUAAUGACACAAGUAUUACUACAUUGGUGUCUGUUGUUGGUGUAAUCAAUACACAGCAUUACAAUGAAUUCCUUUGUUUCGUUAACAAGAAAUGAAGAUUAAAGUACAUAUCUUUCUAAAAUGAUUGAUUGUCCUGAUAGUAAUUGGCCAACUUUGGGAGCAACCAUUGGAAAGUUGGCAAUAAUAAUUGAUCAAUUUUCUUGUCCUCGCUAAGUUCGUGGCAAUCAGCAAUCUUCAGGUGAGAUGGGGGGUACACGCUGAACUGGUCACCAGGCAAUCCCAAAGCACAGAGAAACAAACAACCAUUCACACUCAUGUUCAUACCUACAUACCUACCAUCAAUGUUUAUGGGAUGUGUGAGGAAACCCAAGAUUCUGGAAAAAAACCCAAGCAGGCACAGGUGAACAUGUAAACUCUAGACAAACAGGGCCAGGAUUUGAACCCCGGUCCGCAGAACUGUGAGCCAAAUGUGCUAACCUGUUGGUGACUGUCCCAAAUUGGACAACAGUAGAUAAGUGGUUACAAUGUGUAUGUUGGUGUACGUAGUCCACAGAAGUGACAUCAUGGUUUGUAGAUUUUUUGUUUGUUUCUAUCUUAAAUGACUGAUAAUUUAUUGUCUUCAUGAGUACCAGCCAUUCCCAAUCUUUGCUCACUUUGGGAUUAAGUUAAAAAAGCAAAUGAAAGGAAAUUAAAGUGUUUAGUAUGUGUUGUUGGUGUAUUUAGUCCAAACUGGUGAAGGGAUGAUUGGCAUAGUUUUUCUCAACUAGAACUAAAUCUGUAGCCACAUAUGAAUGUCAUUAAAAUGCCACAGCGCGUUUAGCGUACAAAACACCCAUAACAUAGAAUUAGCAAAAAUAAUGGAAAUACCGCUUCCAGAUAAUACACAAUAUGUCAAUAACAGAGUAGCAGUCUCAAAAAGAAACCCCUUAGCUCAUUUUAGCUGCUCUGCACCGGACUGAUAAUGUGGAUGCGGUUGGCUUCUGGCACACGAGCAGCGCCGUAAUGACUCCAUGGAGGAUAGUGAGUGUGGACGCCUUCCAGCACAUGUUCAUUAGCCAUUGCACAGCCCAAACAUCUGUCGCCCGGAUAGCUGGCAACGGUGGCACGGGCUAAUUAGCCAGUUUCGUGCAACAGGUUUUGCACACUGAAGAAUAAACAAGGUUGCAACUGUAGCCAAAAGGCACACGGAUACACAAUCAGGGUGUUACAUACAAAAUUUACACACCCACUUUGUGCUUAUUAAUGAUUUCCUAAGGCUAAAAUGUAUAGACUGAAUAUCUGCCAAAAUAUACACCUUCAUCUUGUGAGGGCGAAUGAAACCUGAGGAAGAACAUUCAUGAUUUUUAAUUCUGAAUCUCUUAUUUAUGUCCAAGCUAUGUUCUCAGUUAGCUUGUCAUUUUUUGUUUAACAAUUAUCAUAAUCAACACAAAAAGUGACACAUCCUGUGAUUGUUGUGGGACUUAUUGCUAACUAUUGCCUGACCCCUUUAUGUUUGGUUUUAGUGUUUCUGAAACUCCCCAAGAUUCAAAAUAAGAACAUAGUACAGCUGUGUGAUCCAACCAUCCAUCCAUCUGACUGUCGUUUUAUCUGAGUUCAGGUCGUGGUGCAGCAACUGGAGCAUGGAAACCUAGACUUGCCUCUCCCUAACACUUUCUCACGGUCUUCUGAGGAGGAACCUGAGGUUUUCUCAGGUCAGCUGGGAAACAUACUCUGUCCAACGUACACUGGGUUUUCUCAGGAGCCUCCACCUGGUGAGAUGUGCCUGGAACACCACACCAGGGAUGCAUCCUCGGGGUAUCCUAACCAGAUGCCUGAGCCAUCUUAUCUGGCUCCUCUCUAUUUAGAGGAGCAGCAACUAGACUCUGACAUACUCCUGGAUGACUGGGCUUCUCACCCUAUCGGUAAAGGCUUCUUUAUACUCACACAUGCAGUGACCGCACUCAAAUCACUGUGGCUCUCUUGCAUGUGGUUUUCCUUUAUACUCCAGCACAACCCACACCUGCAGUUUUGAGAAUGUGCUGCAGUUCUUCUCCAAGUCAGAGGUGUUGCCACAGUUGGUAUUGGCUAGGACAACACACCGUUUCAGAAGCUAUUUUUAGUUUCAUUUGCGUAACAAGGAACAAAAUAACAACAAUGGAGACCAUGGAAUAGUGUUUACUGAACAAAUGGACAGAUAGGACCAGAUGGUACGUUCAAUUAUGCUGCCAAAUCGAUCAAAAAGACGGCAACAUAGUUGGUAUGCCGAGGAAAACGGGCCAAUCGCGAGGGAUGAGCUUCACAGCUUUACUCGUGAAGCAACUUUUAGGGCUGUGUACGUAGCAGGCUACGCACAAACUAAGCAAAGUUGCUGCGCAGCGCAAUGUGUAGGUUAGGUGAUGCAAAUCUGGCAUUGUCGACCGCACAACAGUUGGAGUAUAAAGUGGCCUUAAUCGAGAGCCUGGACACCCUAAAAAGGAGUCAUAUUCCGGCUGCUUGUAUCUGCAAUUUUGUUCUUCAUGACGCACAGCUCGUGACCAUAGGUAAGAGGAGGAACAUAUAUCCAACAAUAAAUCGAGAGCUUUACAUUUUGACUGACCUCCUUCUUUACCAUGAGAGACUGAUACAGAUUUCACUUCAGCGUGUACGCCUAACCGAUGCGCUUGCUGAUCACAUGGUCCCUUUUUCCUUCUCUUGUGAACAAGACCCUUAGAUACUUGAAAUGCUCCACUUGGGGCAGCAUCUCUUCCUCGACCCGAAGAGGGCACUUCACUCUUUUCUGACUCAGGAUCAUGUUAUCAGAUUUGGAAGUGCUGAUUUUUAUUCCAGCUGCUCCACACUUGGCAGGGAACCGCUCCAGUGAGAGCUUUAGAUGGUGGCUUAAUGUAGCCAUCGGAACCACAUCAUCUGCAAAAAGCAGAGACGUAAUCCUGAGGUCUACCAGUAGGAUCCCCUCAAAACCUUAUGUGUCCCUAGAAACUUGAUCCAGAAAGGUAAUUAACAGAAUCGGUGACAAACUCUGACACCGGUGGUAUAGGGACCGAGCAGCCUUAAUCAGGUGGUCGAUUACCCUUUACUCCUCAGGACUCUCCAAGGGAAACAGUCAAAUGCCUUCUUUAAAUCCACAAAACGCAUGUAGACUGCUUGGGCAAACUCCAUGCACUCUCAAGGACCAUGAUAAGGGUGUAAAUCUAAUCCACUGUUCCAUGGCCAGGGGGAAAACCACAAUCCUGCUCCUGAAUCUGAGAUUCUAUUUCCUUAUAGAAUUUCACCGCUCAUUGUUUUUUUCGUGUAGACAUUGAAGUGAACAAUAUUAUUUGUAGUUUUUAUAAAAAUAUCUAUUUUAAAAUGUAUAUUUGGCUGUUAGUGGCACUUCAAUGACCACUUUCUUCCAUAUUACAAAAAAUAACUUUCUGAAAAAAUAAAUAAUAAUCAUCUUCAUUCAUGAGAAUAUACCAUCUCAUGGCAUACUAAGGAGAAAAGCUCAUUUGUUGUGAUAUACUGUAAUGGUUGAUAACAUGAAAAUGAUGCUGUCAUUUGCAUCAGUAUUUAGGAAAAGAAUGUGCUAUAAAAUUCCUUCAAUAUGACCUUUUGUCUCUUGGCUGGCUUGGGAUCCCUCCGGAAGAGCUGGAAGAAGUGGCUGGGGAAAGGGAGGUCUGGGUAUCCCUGCUGAAGCUAUUUCCCCUGUGACCCGACCCAGAAAAGCGAGCCAUGUGUAAAACAGAUCACCACUUCCUACAGCGGGAUCUAUUGGAGACCAAUCAGUGACUGAUGCGAGGGUUGGGCAAGAUCAAGACAUCAACAAGAUAACGAGUUCCAUUUGCCAAAAAUGCCCUUACAUGUGGUUAUCGGAGCAAUGGUUCAGUGAACGCCAGUUGUCCACGAACCAAAGGGUCGACAAUUUGAAUCCUGGCUACAGAUGUCCGCUGUGGAUGUGUUCUACAGGGAGAACAUGCAAACUCUGCAAAGGCAAGGCCGGAUUUGAACUUGGGCCUGGCAGCACCUUGCAUGGGAUCUGUCGCUCAUUGCUGUAUGAAUACCUGCGUGAAUGGCGCCAGGGAACAACAGCGGCCAAUUCUGGGACUAACAGACUUUGUCAAUGACAUUUUAUAUGUGAGGAUAAGCGGCUUGGGAAAUAGAUGGUUGGAUGAUUACACAUAGUGAUUGUGCUUUUUUUCCUGCAUCAAAGGAGUUUAGUCUGCACCUCCUUUCCAGCGCCAGGCCGGGCAGACACCCAGAUCCCGCUGAUUAAGAGGGAUACAGGAAGCCAGCAUGUAAACAGCUGAGGGAAGACAAGCUGGCAGGCUGCUUCGCUUGCUGCCGACUGCCGAACUGCUUUUAUGGCCCAUUGAAGCCAUCCUGUCCCUGCGUUUGAAACUCAGAGAAGAACAAGGGAAAGCUGAUCUUUGUUUUCUCAACAUUGGAGACUCCUCCAGUCAGUCUUGCCGAGCCAUCCAGUCUUGGCAACAUAUGAGCUGAAGUUACCCGCCAGGAAAGACAGACCCCAACAAACCCCGCCCACCAUCCCAACAGCCCCCCUAUACUGGGGUUGCCCCCCCUCAGCAGUGAAAACAUCUUUUGAGUGGGCGGCAGCUGUUGGCAUUUCCUGUGUAUUGGGUGUCGAGCGGGCGGCCGGGGCUGCUUCGCCAGGCUUCCCGCUUUUUUCCGGGGUGCGAAUAUUGGGAAAUGUGUUCAGGGGAAUCCACGCAUUUACGCACAAACUAACACACACAUUUAUGUACAGUGCACACACACACAGAUAUAUAAAAGCGCACACACAUGCAUGCAAUCACUCAUACACACAAUCACACACGCACGCACACAAAUGACGCAUAUAGUCACUCUCAUUCACUCAUGCAUGCACACACACUAACUCAAACACAGGCAUAUGUACAAUUCUGAACCAGCUGCUGUUGCUACUCAAGUGAUGUGUAAAUCCCCCUUUUUUUGCACCUCUGUGUGUGUGUGUGUGUGUGUGUGUGCGUGUGUGAGUGCGUGUGUGUGUGUGCAUGUGUGCAUGUGUGCAUACAUGUGUGCAUAGGCAUGUCUUGCAUAGGUCAGCUAUAUGGAGUGAUUUCAUUACUGGUGAAUACGUGACUGUCAGCAGAUUGACAGUCAGCUGCAGCCAUAUUGGAUUAUAGAUUGUAUUUCACGGCGUUAAAAGUGGCCCUCCGGGGCUAAUUUAGCUCAGCAGCUAACAACGCCAUCUUUGGGUAAAAAUAUCAACUGGCCGUUCCUCCACUUCGUGUCAACAUUUAGAGCUAAGAAGUAAGGAGGGAACCCGAAGAAUGCAUUUGAAUAAAGAGCAAUGAAUUGAUAUCUUCCUAAUGGCCGGUUCAGCAAGCAGCCGUGCGAUUGCAAGCAUGUAAACAUGGAACGAAUAUCGCACACGACACUGUGGCAAAACCUACCAUGCCAAAACAGAGUGUUUUGGAUCAGGCAAGAUGUGGUUGAAGACGUACAGUCAUCACAUUAAAGAAGCAAUCGACCCUCCAUCCAUUUUCUGAGCUGCUUAUCCUCACAAUGGUCGCAGGUUUGCUGGGCGAGAGGUGAAGUACACCCUGAACAGGGCAUAUGAAGACAGACAACAGUCGCACUCACAAUGCACACCUACGGGCAAUUUAGGUGUCUCCAAUUAAUGCAUGUUUUUGGGAUGUGGGAGGAAACUGGAGUCCCGGUAGAAAACCCACUCAGGCACGGGGAGAACAUGCAAACUCCACACAGGCGGGGCCGGGAUCUGAACCCCGGUCCUCAGAACUGUGAGGCCAGCGAUUCAACCAGUUACAGCACUGUGCCACCUGCAACGGAGCAUAUUGUACAAAUAAAAAUGGUUUAUGUCAAGAAACAUUUAUUUUUGUAAUGUAUGAAGACUUAUGGGACACACUGUACUAGUGCACCCAUGUCAUUCUGCUAGUGUGCUAAGUAGGAUAUUGAAUAACUCCUCUAACGGCUUGCCGUGCAAGCACUGCCGACACGUUACUCUGACAGUUGUCCCUUGCUAUAUUCAACACUUAUAUCUGUAUCACUGUUUUUAAAUUGUACAUAGCUAAUUUUAGAUUGCAUAGUUAUUUUUUUUUUUUGGCAAAUUGGUAUUUUGCCCAAUCGCCAGUGCAGACCUGCCUUUUAAAUCCAUGUGCAUUCAAAUUUAGACAUGACAGUGUGGAAUGUGAAGAUGGUGACUCCAAGUGGGGAAAAAAAUCAUACCCACUUCACAUGCAUAUUUUGCAUUUAUAUAAUGUAUAAAGCUUUUUAACAUAUAUAUAAAUAACUAAUUGAACACACGGUUGCUAUUUCAUGGAUUUUUCUCUUUAUCGCAAGUGGUUCUGGAACGUAACCCCUGUGAUAAAUGACAGACUAUGCUGUACCACAUUUGAAAAGUACAUUUUCCUUUCAAGAUGUAUUUUGUUCUGAAAAUGUUAUCAUGUUUUUGUUUUUUUUUUUCCAAAGGAAAGAGUUAGUGGCCUGUCCAAACUUUGUGUGCUUGUUGGAGAUAACAAACAAGUUGUUGAGGUCGCAGGAGGCACCUCAGAUAAAGCACCCUGCCUGCCUGUUUUAUGUCCCGCUGGCCAAUAUGGAGGAGGAAGCUCGCUGGCUUUGUGUUUACAUACCCGACUGAAUAAUGGCGAGGAGGAGAAGGUGCGGAGGAACAUUAGCGUCCUGAAGAGGAUGUCAUGAGUCAUCCUCUGCCAGGGUAUGAAUGCCAGGCUUAAUCCUCAGGAAGUCCAGGAGACGUGUACACAGCAUGUUCGUAGGUUUAUAAUCACGCUUUUGUAGCCUGGGGACUGUUUAAGUGCUGAUUUUAUACCUGAACUCCAAAGAAAUUGGGAUGCUGCGUAAACCACAAUUUCAAAACAGAAUGCAAAGAUUUGCACAUACUUUUCAAUUGAGAGAGAGAACCUAUUACAUUUUUAAAAUUGAUUAGCCCAAUUGCUUUAUAUACCUCUGAAAUCUUCCAAGUUUGUGUUUCUGAGCAUUGCUACAUUUUCCUAGCCUUUUGUUUGUCCUCGCUCAUCUCUUUUGAUACAGCCAUCAAAUCCAAACAAAAACGUUCAUCACUUUGAACAUUAAACAUAUUUUCUUUGUAGUGUAUUCAAUUGAAUGUAAAUUAAAAAUGAUUAGCAAAU